CAAUUUAUCAUUCUUGUCUACUUUUUUAUAUUAUCUUUGAUAACUCAUUGGAUUGGUGAUGGACUUUUUGGUAAAAAAUUGACCCAUGAGUGUAAAAAAAAGCAUGCCGUCAUUUAAAUCGCGUCUUAAAUAUUUAGUACAUGCAGGAUAUAUUGACCCCUCCUCUGCAGAGGUUAGGUGAAAACUUUAAAAAAAAUAUGACUUUUGGAGUUAUAGUAGUUAGUUAGUACUUUAAUUUUUUGAAUCUGAUGUUAAAUUUUUUUUCCUGUCAUAAAAAUCUGACGAAAUGUCAAAUUUGACAGUAUAUUUUACAAUUAAUAAGCAAAUUCCGUGAAAGCAUUCGUCGAACGUUUUCUUUCCGUGCCAUUCCGGGAAAAAUGUAGAACGAGCAUUUCGCAUAUGAAAAACUUUGCGAAGAAAACGUCGGACAGUUCUCGUCGAUCAAGAAGGAGAAUUAUAUAUUUUGCUAUGUUUCGAAGACAACACUCAAAUCAUUUCAUAGAAGAUGCCAAAAGUUACUUUGGUCGGUCGGCCAAACAAAUUCAUUCAACUUUAAAAAAGUUUAAGUAUUAUUCUUAUAAAAUAUUACCUGUUCAAACUUUAAGUGUAACGCAAAGAAAUGAUCGGGUGGCAUUUUGUCAAGAGAUAUUAGAACUAAAAGACAUUUAUAAUUGGAAGAAUGUUUGCUUUUGGUUAAGGAUCAACCCUUGAAUAACAAGACAAAUUAAGUUUCAAGGGCGGCAUUCUUUACAUGUAUGGAGUAGCAUUUUAAAUGAUCAAGUCAAAGGACGUAUCUUUUAUAACGGAAAGUUAUCGGAUAAGAAAUUCACUAUAGAGCUGCUUACUUACCCAAUUAAAACGAGACUUGAAAAUCUACGCGUAAGGAAAUACAAGCAAAAAGUAUGGCAUCAAGAUCCAGUGGCGAAAUUGGGAGCGGGCUUGGGGGUGCUUAGCACCCCGAAAAUAUAAAUGCACCCCAAAAAAAAUUGAGAAAUAUAUAGGCACCUAAUAAUAUUUCGAUGUUGGCAAAGUUGGAUAGAAAAGAACAUGAAUUAGGUUAUUAGUUAAUUAGAACCCAAGAUAAUCUGACAUUGAAAAAAAUUCAAAUAGAAAAAUUGUAGAGGCGCUUGGUUUCUUAUCAAGUUUUUAGUAAAUCUGUUUUUACUAACAGAAAUUUUGAUUGACAA
rnacentral:lncRNA from 1 species